UAUCUAUCGGAACCAGUAAUACCUACUUACAUGCCUACCUAAGUACAUAUUAUUAUAUUUUUAUUUUGAGAAAAAUAAUUAUCAUCACUUAUUUCGUAAUUUAUGCGCUAAAAAAUAAUAUUUCAACAAAACAUUAUCGCAACAUUUCUUGAAAAAAAAAUCAUAGCGUUGGCAGGUAAAAAAAAUAUAUACGUGAAUUUACGAACCCGCCUUAAAUUAAAAAUCUAACACAGUUUAACUAAAAAAGAGAACAUCGAGGCAAACACACGUACAAGUACUUACUUUGUCCAGAAUAAGCAUCAAGUCAAGCUGCAAAUUUUUUUUGUGCGUGUGUGCAAAAUGAGAAAAUUUUAUUCAGUCAGUGCAGUAAUUUUAAUCGUUUUAUUGCUGAACUACCAUUCGGUACACGGCGACUCAACAAGUGCUCAAGCAGGAGGAGUCACUCACGCACAGAGCACAGGAGAUGGAUCGGCCGAAAGUAGUGCCUCAGGCAGUUCUGGAGCUAAUACCUCCACAAACGGUGGAACUCCUGCCAAUAAGGAGCCGCAAUCAGUGGUUGGGGCAAGCUGGCCUAAUCUCAUUCAGUGGUUAUCGCGAAUAUUAAACUUGGAUUUGUAAUAGUGUAUUCUUCUUGUUAGUUUUUCGGUGAUAUUAAAAAUUACUAAACGUGUAUGUACUUACUCGACUUAUUGCUAUUAGUAUUUUUAUGUACUUUUUAUCACUUACGUAGAGAAAUAGAACGAAAUAGAAUUAAUUUUAAGAUUGGGUAUUUUUGGUGUAGUUAUUUGAAUUGUCAAAGUUGAAAAAAUGAAGCAUUUCAAUAUAAGUAAUACUUAAGCGUU